ensembl:lncRNA
CUCUCUCUCUCUCCAUCUCUCUCACUCUCUCUCUCACUCUCUCCAUCUCUCUCUCUAUCUCUCUCUCUCUCUCCAUCUCUCUCUCCCUCUCUCUCUCUCCCUCUCUCUCUCUCCAUCUCUCUCUCUCUCUCUCACUCUCUCUCUCACUCUCUCCAUCUCUCUCUCUAUCUCUCUCUCACCCUCUCCCUCUCUCUCUCUAUCUCUCUCUCUCCAUCUCUAUUGUUACUGAAGUUUAACAGACGAUGAAAACAGGGAAGAGACAGAGUUAGAGAUUUUUCGAGUUUGAUCAUGGCGCUGCGACACACACAGAGUUCACUAACUGACUUAUUUGACGUAAUUAGAGUAAGAAGAGUAAAGUAACCGAGCCGACUGUAACCGCCACACGCCACUUCAUAAACGUCACGUGUCCCCUCACAUCCUGCAGAAAAACACUGACUAUAAAAGAGAGAUAAAGUUAGUGAGAUGGUCUGGUUUCUGUCAGCGUUAUGUUGGACCAAUCAGUGAGCUGAACUGUUUAUAGCUCCGCCCACAUAGCAUCAUACAAGUUUCAUUUACCGAGUGUUUGGUGUAAAAGUGUUAGCAGACUUUCUUGAGGGGACUGUCUCGCUCUCUGUCUGUGUCUCUCCAUCUGUCUCACUCUUGUGUCUCUCUGUCUCUCCGUCUGUCUCUCUAUCUGUCUGUCUCUCUCUCUUUCUCUAUGUCUGUCUGUGUCUCUCAGUUUGUCUGUCUCUAUCUAGCUUUCUGUCUGUCUGUGUCUCUCUAUCUGUCACUAACACACACUCUCUCUCUCUCUCUCGCUCUGUCUCUGUCGGAAUCAUGAUGGAGCGUGCACAUUCCUUUCCGUUUGCUGGAUUUUCCUCUUUCUUUAGGUGCUCAGUUUGUCAUGAAGCACAGCUGCCAUGUUUUUGUUGAGCCAUCUUCCACACACACACACACACACACACACUCACACACACACACAGGAAUUCCUCUUGAAUUUGAAACUCACUCCCACUGACUGUUGGAUUUUCUUCUGUUUUUUUUUUUUAUUUUUCCACAUGGCAGCUGCUCCACACGCCUCGUCUUCUCUCUUCUCCUUUUUAGCGUUUCUUUCAUGACCACACGCCGAUUCCACGACAUUAACACUGCACCUUGAACCUCUGACACAUGAAGACCAGAUAUACAACCACAAACCUUCAGGAAUUUACUCAUUUACUGAAUUAAAUGACUGAUCAUGUUUCUGAUUCAUGGAUCACAGACGAAACGUAUUUAUCUGAGAUAUCUCAAUCCAGCUAGACCAAUCCAACUAAACUAAUCCAACUAAACUAAUCCAGGUAAAUAAUCCAGCUAAACUAAUCCAACUAGACCAAUCCAACUAAACUAAUACAACUAACUAAUCCAGGUAAAUAAUCACCAUUUGUAAAUCAGCUUUACGUUAUUUUAACUUUCAUUUAAGUGAUGCAUGCUGAUAAGAACAGGCCCUGGAUCUUUUGCGGAGGAAGCGUAUUUAUCAGGGUGAGAUCAGACGUGAGCUCCAGCACGCCUUGUUGUAGAUCGGAUCUGUUUUGUCCUCAUUGCUGCAUCUCUGUACAUCUAUAAAUAACCAUCUCCAUGAUUAAUGAAUUAGCCGCUGUAGCAUGGGGGUGUGUUCAGUUAACACACACUGCUGUAUCUCACACAAACACACACACACACACGUCUCUAAUACACACUGCUGUAUCUCUCUCUCUCUAUCUCUCUCUCUCUCUCUCACACACACACACACACACACACACACACAAAUACACAGCUAUUCCAAUGAAGUAUAUUAAAACCUGCUGGUGAACACGAUGUGAAUCAUAUAUUUUAUAACAACAACAACAACAACAAUAAUGAUAAUAUAUAAAGUAGAACUCUGUGGUAAAUAUAGUGCUAAGUUAAUGAGAGCAGCAGCUCUGAGUCAUGACAGCUCGCUGUGGAAUGAUGGAGGAGGUUCUACCACAAGGUCACGACAUUCCCAACACAGUCAAGAUCAGACACCGAGAUCAGACUAACGCUCCACACGAGAUCAGACUCACGCUCCACAUCAAGAUCAGACUCACGCUCCACAUUGAGAUCAGACUCACCCUCCACAUCGAGAUCAGACUCAUGCUCCACAUCGAGAUCAGACUCACACUUCACACCGAGAUCAGACUCAUGCUCCACAUCGAGAUCAAACUCACACUCCACGUCGAGAUCAGACUCACACUCCACGUCAAGAUCAGACUCACGCUCA